rnacentral:tRNA from 1 species
GGGCACGUAGCUCAAUUGGAUAGAGCGUUGGCCUCCGGAGCCAGAGGUUGUGGGUUCGAGUCCCACCGUGCCCA